rnacentral:rRNA from 1 species
UUGAUCCUGGCUCACGAUGAGCGCGANCGGCAGGCUUACACAUGCAAGUCGAGGGGUAACGAUUCUGAGCAAUCGGAAGUCGACGACCGGCGCACGGGUGAGUAUCGCGUUUGUAACCUACCUUUGACUGGAGAAUAGCCCGAAGAAAUUCGGAUUAAUACUCCAUAAAACUGUGAGAAGGCAUCUUUUUACAGUUAAAGCUUCGGCGGUCUUAGAUGGGCAUGCGUAACAUUAGCUAGUUGGUGAGGUAAUAGCUCACCAAGGCUACGAUGUUUAGGGGGUCUGAGAGGAUGGUCCCCCACACUGGUACUGAGACACGGACCAGACUCCUACGGGAGGCAGCAGUGAGGAAUAUUGGUCAAUGGGCGAAAGCCUGAACCAGCCAUGCCGCGUGAAGGAUGACGGCCCUAUGGGUUGUAAACUUCUUUUAUACGGGAAGAAACCCCUCUACGUGUAGAGGGCUGACGGUACCGUACGAAUAAGCAUCGGCUAACUCCGUGCCAGCAGCCGCGGUAAUACGGAGGAUGCAAGCGUUAUCCGGACUUAUUGGGUUUAAAGGGUGCGUAGGCGGAAAAUUAAGUCAGUGAUGAAAUCCUGCAGCUUAACUGUAGAAUUGUUAUUGAUACUGAUUUUCUUGAAUACAGUUGAGGUAGGCGGAAUGUGUAAUGUAGCGGUGAAAUGCUUAGAUAUUACACAGAACACCGAUUGCGAAGGCAGCUUACUAAACUGUGAUUGACGCUGAGGCACGAAAGCGUGGGGAGCGAACAGGAUUAGAUACCCUGGUAGUCCACGCUGUAAACGAUGAUCACUCGUUGUUGGCAAUACAUCGUCAGCGACUGAGCGAAAGCAUUAAGUGAUCCANCUGGGGAGUACGAUCGCAAGAUUGAAACUCCAAGGAAUUGACGGGGGCCCGCACAAGCGGAGGAACAUGUGGUUAAUUCGAUGAUACGCGAGGAACCUUACCUGGGCUU